CUCCUACGGGGCGCAGUAGGGAAUCUUCCACAAUGGGCGAAAGCCUGAUGGAGCAACGCCGCGUGGGUGAAGAAGGUCUUCGGAUCGUAAAACCCUGUUGUUAGAGAAGAAAGUGCGUGAGAGUAACUGUUCACGUUUCGACGGUAUCUAACCAGAAAGCCACGGCUAACUACGUGCCAGCAGCCGCGGUAAUACGUAGGUGGCAAGCGCUAUCCGGAUUUAUUGGGCGUAAAGGGAACGCAGGCGGUCCUUUAAGUCUGAUGUGAAAGCCUUCGGCUUAACCGGAGGAGUGCAUUGGAAACUGG
rnacentral:rRNA from 1 species